rnacentral:rRNA from 1 species
GAUGAACGCUGGCGGCGUGCCUAAUACAUGCAAGUCGAGCGAACGGACGAGAAGCUUGCUUCUCUGAUGUUAGCGGCGGACGGGUGAGUAACACGUGGAUAACCUACCUAUAAGACUGGGAUAACUUCGGGAAACCGGAGCUAAUACCGGAUGAUAUUUUGAACGGCAUGGUUCAAAAGUGAAAGACGGUCUGGCUGUCACUUAUAGAUGGAUCCGCGCUGCAUUAGCUAGUUGGUAAGGUAACGGCUUACCAAGGCAACGAUGCAUAGCCGACCUGAGAGGGUGAUCGGCCACACUGGAACUGAGACACGGUCCAGACUCCUACGGGAGGCAGCAGUAGGGAAUCUUCCGCAAUGGGCGAAAGCCUGACGGAGCAACGCCGCGUGAGUGAUGAAGGUCUUCGGAUCGUAAAACUCUGUUAUUAGGGAAGAACAUAUGUGUAAGUAACUGUGCACAUCUUGACGGUACCUAAUCAGAAAGCCACGGCUAACUACGUG